CCGUACGUGGUGUCCCCAAAUCCCCACGGUGUUCCUCGCCCGGUGUCCCGCCGCCUCCCGUGCUGUCCCUCGGUGUCCCACGGGGUCCCACCAUGUCCCGCAGGGUCCCACUGUGUCCUACAGGGUCCCACCAUGUCCCACGGGGUCCCACCAUGUCCCGCAGGGUCCCACUGUGUCCUACAGGGUCCCACCAUGUCCUACGGGGUCCCACCAUGUCCCAUGGGGUCCCACCAUGUCCUACAGGGUCCCACGGGGUCCCAUGGCAUCCCACAGGGUCCCACCAUGUCCUACAGGGUCCCACCGUGUCCUACGGGGUCCCACCGUGUCCUAAGGGGUCCCACCAUGUCCCACCGUGUCCUACAGGGUCCCACCAUGUCCUAAGGGAUCCCACCAUGUCCCACGGGGUCCCACCGUGUCCUACAGGGUCCCAUUAUGUCCCACAGGGUCCCAUCAUAUCCCAUGGGAUCCCACCAUGUCCUACGGGGUCCCACCGUGUCCCAUCGUGUCCCAUGGGAUCCUACCGUGUCCCACGGGGUCCCACUGUGUCCUGCAGGGUCUCACCGUGUCCUACGGGGUCCCACCAUGUCCCACUGGGUCCUAUCUAUCCCAUGGGAUCCCACCGUGUCCCACCAUGUCCCACAGGGUCCUAUCUAUCGCAUGGGAUCCCACUGUGUCCCACGGGGUCCCACCAUGUCCCACCAUGUCCCAUGGGGUCCCACCGUGUCCUACAGGGUCCCAUGAGGUCCCACCAUGUCCUACAGGGUCCCACCGUGUCCCGUGGGGUCCCACCAUAUCCCACGGGGUCCCACCAUGUCCUAUGGGGUCCCACGGGGUCCCACCGUGUCCCACCGUGUCCCACCAUGUCCUACAGGGUCCCAUCAUAUCCCAUGGGGUCCCACCAUGUCCCACGAGUCUCACCGUGUCCCAUCGUGUCCCAUGGGGUCCCAUGGGAUCCCACCAUGUCCCAUGGGAUCCCACCAUGUCCCACGGGGUCCCACUAUGUCCCACAGGGUCCCACCUUGUCCUACAGGGUCCCACCAUAUCCCAUGGGAUCCCACCAUGUCCUACAGGGUCCCACCAUAUCCCAUGGGAUCCCACCAUGUCCCACAGGGUCCCACCGUGUCCUACAGGAUCCCACCAUGUCCUAUGGGGUCCCAUCAUAUCCCAUGGGAUCCCACCAUGUCCCACGGGGUCCCCCCGUGUCCCGUGGGGUCCCACCACGUCCCGCAGGGUCCCACCACAUCCUACAGGGUCCCACCAUGUCCCACGGGGUCCCCCCGUGUCCCGUGGGGUCCCACCACGUCCCGCAGGGUCCCACCACAUCCUACAGGGUCCCACCAUGUCCCACGGGGUCCCCCCGUGUCCCGUGGGGUCCCACCACGUCCCGCAGGGUCCCACCACAUCCUACAGGGUCCCACCAUGUCCCACGGGGUCCCCCCGUGUCCCGUGGGGUCCCACCACGUCCCGCAGGGUCCCACCACAUCCUACAGGGUCCCACCAUGUCCCACGGGGUCCCCCCGUGUCCCGUGGGGUCCCACCACGUCCCGCAGGGUCCCACCACAUCCUACAGGGUCCCACCAUGUCCCACGGGGUCCCCCCGUGUCCCGUGGGGUCCCACCACGUCCCGCAGGGUCCCACCACAUCCUACAGGGUCCCACCAUGUCCCACGGGGUCCCCCCGUGUCCCCGCACCGUGGCGGGGCCGUUGUGCCGAGCCCCACCGACCCCGCCUUCCCCCUCCCAAACCCCCGGGGGACCGAACUCCACGGGCAAAGGGGGCGAUUGGGG
rnacentral:lncRNA from 1 species